rnacentral:tRNA from 1 species
GGUAGUUCAGUCGGUAGAACGACGGACUGUUAAUCCGUAUGUCACUGGUUCGAGUCCAGUC